CAGCAGAAAGAUAGCCCUACGGGGCCAAUACUAAGUGUAAGUCUCUGUCUCGAAUAUGAACAUUGCUGGGGAGAGUGGGCUGUUAGCCAAUACAAAAGUUGUUCCUUCCCCGGAGGAUCAGUUAAGUAUUUGACUAAAGUCAAUUAUAACAUUAUAACUUAAAGAACCACAGUUGAUUUAUCCCAGUCUUAAAUAACUAAUUAAAUAUGCAUAUAGGUGAAAAGUAGACAACAUUCUGCAAAGGAUACGAUAUUUGAAAUUCACCCCAAACAGACCCUUGGUUGCCUGAAUGUCUCAUUAUCCUGGCCUAGCAGGAAACAUUUCAGGCGUAAUUUUGUGUGUGUGUGUGGAAACAAUCCCUUUAAAAAAAGGCAAUUGGUCUAACAUUUAGAAUAAUAGAAUCGGAAGGGACCAUGAGCGUCAUUUAGUCCAACCUCCUGCAAUGCAAGAAUCUCAACUAACAAAUCCACCUGCAUCCAGGGCAGUGGUUUGAUUGCCUGACUCAUAAAAAGCCAGCUCAUGCUGUAAUGCAGGAAUGGGGACCCUGGCAUCCAACGUCUGGAGGGCUGCAGAUUUCCCCGCAAUUCGUUUUGUGCAGGUGAGUUGCCAGUUGAAAACUGUAAUCCUCAGGGGCUUAUGCUACUGCUUUUUUAAGGUAAGCCACAUGAUUUAGCAGGGAAUAAGUACAGUGGACGCUUGGGUUGCGAACAUGAUCCGUGCGGGAGGCAUGUUCGCAACCCUCAGCGCCGCAUCUGCGCACGUGCGGGUCACGAUUUGGUGCUUCGCGGCAUGUGCAAAGUGCAAUUUAACACUUCUGCGCAUGCACGAGCGCCAAAACCCGGAAGUAACCAGUUCCGGUACUUCCGGGUUCGGUGCAGUGCACAACCCGAAAUCGUGCAACCUGAAGCAUCUGUAACCCAAGGUAUGACUGUACUCUAGAUAAUGGAGGAGGGAUAUAAACCCACAACGGGAUUGUAGGCACCUUCAACAUCAAGGCUCCCACCAAAGCCAUCAAAUUAGGUUUCAGUUCUUCAGCUUUAAGCCCAAUAAAGCACUGGGAAAUAUAACCAAGAACACCAUGCUUGGACUCCAGUUUGGCUGAGUUCUAUAAAUCAGAGCCUCUUUCCUAUGUGUUACAGAAGCUGUAAAGAUAAAAAGAACCCUCUAUCACUUAUGGUGGGAUUGUACUAAGGUGGACACACUUAGUGGGCAUUCAUUUUUACUUGUAUUAGUCAAUCGUACAGCAACUUCACUCCUGAACCUCUGCUUGCUCUCCUGUCUAUUUUGAGAAAAGGGGUUAAGGCAGAGUUUUCCAAGCUGUGAAUGUCUGUUGCAUGAACACUCCCUGCGCUCCUCCUGGGACUGGAAAGGGGUUAGUUUAACCUCCAGUUUGCUAGUAAAACUGAAUUACUGUGUCGCAACAUGAUGCAUGUCUAAAAAGUGUGCCACCAACAUGAAAAGUUUGGAAAGCUCUGGGUUAAGGGGUCAAUAAGCCUCUGGUCCACAGACAUCUGGUACUAAAGCAACUGGCAGCUGCUCAAUUAGAAACUGCAUGCCUCUGGAGGGAAUUGGGAAUUUAGAAUCACAUAAUCACAGGACUAUAGAAUUGGAAGGGACCCAUAGGUCAUCUAGUCUAACCCCCUUGGCAAGGCAGGAAUCUCAACUAAAGCAUCCACAACAAUGGUCACCCAACCUCUGCUUAAAAACCUCCAAGGAAGAAGAGUCCACCAAAUAAUUACUAUCUGAAACUUCUUCCUGAUGUUUAGUCAAAAGCUCCUUUCUUGUAACUUGAAGCCAUCGGUUUGUGUCCUACCCUCCAGAGCAGGAGAAAACAAGCCUGCUCCAUCUUCCAUGUGACAACCCUUCAGAUAUUUGAAGAUGGCUAUCGUAUCUCCUUUCCGUCUCUUUUCCAGGCUAAACAUACCCAGCUCCUUCAAGCGCUCCUCAUAAGGCUUAGUUUCCAGACCCUUGAUCUUCUUGGUUGCCAUCCUCUGCACACUUUCCAGCUUGUCAACAUCCUUCUUAAAUUGUGGUGCCCAGAACUGGACGCAGUAUUCCAAGUGUGGUCUGAGUAAGGCAGAACAGAGUGGGACCAUUACUUCCCUUGAUCUGGACACUAUACUUCUGUUGAUGCAGCCGAGAAGAGCAUUACCUUUUUUUGCUGCUGCAUCACACAUAAUGCAUCAUGCAUAAACAAUAACCAUCAAACACUUGUCCAGCAGUACGUCUAAGGGUGCUUGUUUAUCCACUGUCUGUUGACAUACAUUUACACGUUCAACAUUCAAACAUAUUACUUAGCGUAACCUCUCCACUGAGAAUAUUGAACAGGUGGUAUACCAAGGUCUUGAUUUUGGUCAUUAACAGAGUUAAAGAAAGGGGCCUAUGUGUCUUGGAAGGUGUCUCUAUUCAGUAUGCCUUUAACUGCCCUCCUGUGUCUGGUGAGACGCUCAGACAUUGCUGUAUCCAUAUAUUAUUUUCCCAUGUAGUCCAGGAUAUUUCACUCUGGUUCUUCCAUUGGUGAGCUAUCGCUAAUCGUGCUGCGGUCAGUAAGAAGUCUACUAGUUCUCUAUGCUGCAGGGUGAAGCCUAAGUCAAUAUCUGAGGAAAGUAGGACUAAGCCAAGAUUUGGAGAAAGGGGUUGGCCUGUAAUUGGGGAAUACUCUAUUCCAGGCAUAGGCAAACUCAGCCCUCCAGAUGUUUUGAGACUACAACUCCCAUCAUCCCUGGCCGCUGGUCCUGUUUGCUAGGGAUGAUGGGAGCUGUGGUCCAAAAACGUAUGGAGGGCCGAGUUUGCCUAUGCUUGCUCCAUUCUAAAGGUUUUUAACAUUGGGGCAUUCCCACCAAACAUUAAUUAAUGAACCAAGCUUUCUGCACCCCUUCCAACAUAAAGGUGAAAGGGGGGGUUCACACUGUUGACUUAUGUUCAGCUUGUGGUCUGCUAAGACCCCUAGAUCCUUUUCACAUGUAAUACUGGCAAGCCAGGUGUUCCCCAUCUCAUAUUUGUGCAGCUGGUUCUUCCUGCCUAAGUGUAGGAUCUUACAUUCGUCCCUAUUAAAUUUCAUUUUGUUAGUUUGGGCCCAAUACACACUCACUCUCGCUCUCUCUAUAUAUAUAUAUCUCCCCCACCUCUUUAUCUAUGGUCUUAAAUCAUUCCUUUGUUGUCUUGUCACUGCAUCCAGCCAUUUAUUAAAUAAAUACAAUAUAACGCUAUUGUCAAAAGGCCAGGUCUUCUGAGAAGGAGACGUGCUCUGUGCUAGGCAGACCUGCUUAUUACUCAGCAUUUGAAUUAUGAGUAAAGCUAGAAAACGACACAUGAAAAAUUGAAAUUGUAAAAAAAGAGCCAUGAAGGCAUCUCCCAUGCCCACCUGGUAAUACAAUAGCCAGGUGGCAAAAUACCAUAGGCAAGAUCUAGUGAACAAACAAGCUUUGAUAACCAGGUAUGACUGUCUGGUCAUUAUGACAAGUGUGGCUACAAAACCUGCCACAGAAGACAGGUCUGUUUCUUCUGAGCAAAGUUCACUGAUGCUGCUUUGACAGCUGAGAGACUGGCCUACUUAUUCAAAGGUUUCUCUCAUAACAAAAAUAGUGACAGAUUUGACUUAAGUUGUUUUGGUCUGUGCCAAACAUAUGUGGGCGACUCACCUUUGUUGCUGCCACCGCUGCCAUGGCACUUGACACUGACGAGUUGGAAAAAUGAACAAUAGAUGACAAAGCUUCUGUUGCAAGCCUGAAUUCAAAGUCUUCUUCAAGUCUUCACACUCUUCCUGAGAGUUUGCCCCUGCUCCACAGACCAUAGCCAACUGGAGCUUGCCUCUGCCCAUACAGGGGCUGCUGCCCUCUCUUCAUGCCCGUUGAUUGGCACCUGGCAUGAACCAAUUAACAGACAGGGUUUCCUUCACAGCACCAGUCCCAGGUAGCAGCCCUAGUUUGGGUUUUUGUUUUAAAACAAGCCCCUCCACGCACACCUUUGCGCCAACCAAGCUACCUUUCUGUGCACCCUAUUGCCAUUGAAGAGGUUUUUGGCCUUUGUGGGGAGGGACCCGUCCAAUUUAGAGAACCGGUCUAGUGUAAUGGUUAGAGUGUUGGACUAGGACCUGGGAAACUGGAGUUUACCGUAUUUUUUGACCCAUAGGACGCACUUUUUCCCCUCCAAAAAUGAAGGGGAAAUGUGUGUGCGUCCUAUGGGGCGAAUGCAGGCUUUCCCGGGCUUCCUGCAGCUCUGCACCACCCUCCGGAUCCCGGCGCGAAGCCGCGCGGGGCUCCGGAGGGUGGCGCGGAGCUGCCUGCAUUCCGAAGCCUGGUGCGCGCUGAAGAGCGCGCCCGGGCUUCGCGCACCUCUCCGCAAGCCUGGGGAGACCGGCGCGGCUCCCUAGGCUUGCGGAUAGCAGGCUGUUCUGGGGGCUGGGGUCGGGGGAAGCUCGGGCUUCCCCCAUGCCUGCCCCGUGCCGGGGGGGGGAAUAAUUUUUUUUCUUUAUUUUCCCCACCCCCCAAAACAUUAGGUGCGUCCUAUGGGGCGGUGCGUCCUAUGGGGCGAAAAAUACGGUAAAUAGCUGCUCAAUCAUGAAGCCCACUGUGUAACCUUGGGCCAGUCACUGUCUCUCUGUCUGACCUACCUCACUGGGUCAUUGUAAAGAUAAAAAGGGGACAUGGCGUAGGAGUGCAUAAACCGCCUUGAACUCCUUGGAGAAAAUGUUGAUAUAUAAAUGUAUAAAUAUAUAAAACAACAACAACAAUAAUAAAAUAAAUUUUAGCAUGGAGUACCAGAGUCAAAUUCGCACUGUCAGACUUACGCUUAUAUCAUGAAGCUGCAUGUUUAUGUUAGUUGAAGGAGUGGAUACGGUUGAAGAACACUCAGCUGUUAGAUUUAGAGGGGUAUGAUAUUAAAGUUGGUUGGCAUGCAUGUCUAUUGUGUAAGGGUAAUGCUCCAUAAUGCAAAGGCAAACCUCGCACAAAAUAUGCCACAGCAUGUCUGGGAGCAUCACGCUUGCUUUCUCUGACCUUUUGCCUUCUUGGCUGAAAAACAGGGUUUUCCCCUUGACCUUUUGUCCUUUCGCAAACUGUCUGCUUAAUGUUUCACUUGGCUGGAGCGUGAUUGGUGGAUCAGACUUGGUCUAACGUCAGGGGAAGCACCUGUUUGACACGUGUAUCACUCACGCUAGAAAUGUGCCCUUGCUGGAAAUAUGUUAUGUUCAGGGUUUACACUACUGUUUCCAAUUGUUGACUUCUGCUAAUAAAAAGAGGCUCUGCAAAGCUAGCCGGCAGCUUGCUUCUGCAUAGCUCACUUGCAUCCCAACUCCUGUGUCGUCUCCUUGUUUAUACAUAUUGUAUGGUAAAGCCAACAUAUAUAACAGCUUCUUGAAUCAUGUAGUUAGAAAGAAUCUAUAGAAUAUGGGAGAAAUAAAAAAACCUGCUUGAAACUCUCACCCAAAGAAGCAAUUUAUUUGAAAAGAUUGAACAUGGACCAGCACUGGGGAACAUACAGAGAUCUUCUGGAUUGUUUAGAGCAAGACGUAAAACUGAAUAAAUUAGAAGAUGUUAGUAAUAUGGUGAAUGACUGGCUACAAUAACACCAACGAAAUGUAAUGUUUAGACUACAUAAGCAGUAUGGUUUUAUGGAUCAAAGUUUCCAAUUCAAAAGCGAAUAGAAAAUAGAGACCAACUGAUCUCUAGAAUGUACAAAUUAUGAGAGUGGGAAAUAAAAGAUGAAUCGGUAAAAUUUGAUACGAUACAUUGGGCGAGGGAUAUGGAACAUGAUAUUGAAUUUACUUUGUGGGAGAAACUGUGGGAAAUGGAUUUAAAAUUUACAGCUUGUUAUGCAUUGAAAGAGAAUUAUAUGAAAAUGACAUAUAAGAGGAACCUGACACCGAGUAAGUUAGCAAAGAUGUAUAGCUCAGUGUUAAGUUGUGGGCGAACAUAUCAGACGACACAGUGAUUCUUCCAAAGCAGCCCUUUAUUUGUAAGCUGGAACAGAACUAACUGAGGAGCUCAGUCAGCCUGCUUAUAUAGAGCUCCAGAACAAUGUAACUGUUGCCAUUUUCUAAAACUAUCCAAUCACUGAACGUCACUUUUCGAUCCUUCAUUUGCAUAACUAUCUACAGUAUCCCCCUGCUGGCCCAGGGUGAGAACUUCAGUACAUAACACUCAGAAUCAGGUAAUGGCAGGAAAUAUAACAAAAACCACCAGAAGUUACGUUUUACCUAUGUGGUGGGUAUGUAAACUAGCUAAAGGCUUAUGGGAGAUGAUAUAUAAUGUAAUGGGGGGGGGAUGUUUAAAAGGUCUUUUAUAAAAAGACCAGAAGCUUUUCUUUUAGAAAUAAUUGAGUCAGAUGUCCCCAGAAAUAAUAAUUAUAAAAAAAAUAUUAAUCUAUGUAACUACAGCAGCCCAAAUUUUAUAUGCUCAGACAUGGAAAGAGGGGGCAUUUCUGAUGAGGGAGGAGUGGCAGAUGAAGAUGAUGGAAUAUGCAGAACUAGCGAGUCUAACCAGCAGAAUAAGAGAUCAGGAAGGGUAUUCAAGGAAAACUGGAAAAAGUUUGUAGAGUAUACGAAGAAUCACUGUAAACAAGUUAAAUCAUUAAUGAUAAUAAUUAUUAUUAUGCCCCGCCCGAUGUAUAAGUGUGGGGUGGGAUAAUAUUGUUUUUGUUUGUUACUGUGGUAUGCACUUUUGUGUUUUUGUGCAUUUUUGUGUUUUCCUAAACAACUUUUGUGUCCAGAUUUUCACUUUUUGAAGUAUGUAUUUUUUCAUUUGUAUUUGCAUUUUCAAAAACAGGAAUGGGGAGCAUAUUUUAACCCCCCUCCCCUCACAACUUCAUACCAAAUACAGUGGUACCUCGGGUUAAGUACUUAAUUCGUUCCGGAGGUCCGUACUUAACCUGAAACUGUUCUUAACCUGAAGCACCACUUUAGCUAUUGGGGCCGCCUGCUGCUGCCGCGCUGGCGGAGCACAAUUUCUGUUCUCAUCCUGAAGCAAAGUUCUUAACCCGAGGUACUAUUUCUGGGUUAGCAGAGUCUGUAACCUGAAGCGUAUGUAACCUGAGGUACCACUGUACAUGCAUACAUAUACCAUGUCCUGGCUUUUGAAGUUCGGGUCACUGAUUUACGGGGCAUGGGCUGAUGGAAGGAGACGUCCGAGUUGGGCUUGCCAGCUGGCCUCCCAGCCCCUCUGCAUGUCGUCACUCCCAUCAUCCCUGACCACUCAUCCCACUAGCUAGGGAUGAUGGAAGUUGUAGUCCAACAACAACCAGGGACUCAGCUUUGAGAAAUAUUGGUGUGCUCUGAUGGUCAGUGGCUGUCCAGAGUUUCCCAUCUUGGCCCUACCUGGAGAUGCCAGGGAUGGAACGCAAGGCCUUCUGCAUGCCAAGCAGGUGCUCCAAAUAACAGGGGAAGAGCCCACCGCUCCUUGGUACAGCACAUCCUUCGCAUGGAGAAGGCCCCAGGUUCAGUCCUGGGCAAUAAAUCCUCUGCUUGAAACCCUGGAGAGCUGCUGCUGCCAGCCAGUGUAGCCAACACUGAACUAGAUGGACCAAUGAUCUGGCUCCAUAGAGGGCAGCACCUUAUAAUCUUACGGUCCACUCUGCAGGUCACUGGGACUUGUGGGCCUGUCUCCCUACGUGUCUUCAAUCUGCAAUUCCCAGUGCAAUCCCAGGCAAGCGGGAAACGACCAAAGAGGCAGAAGUCACAGCAACGGGCGAAAAAGAGAACUUGGCCAACCCCAGCCAGCAACGUUGGGCAGGUAAGCAGUUGAUAGGUUGGGCAACACUGGAAAAUGAAUCCCUGGAUCCCUGGAUCCUUGUGGCUUCACUGCCUGGGGCUGCAACCGAGAAAUGAAUGGUUGGAGAUCCUGAAGCUGUAAGGAAUGCACUUCUGAGCAUGUGCAGAGUACUUUCUUUGGGUAACACUGGACAACCUCCAGCCACUUCCACCCCUCUGGAUUUAGGAGGCCCAUUGAGCUUGUGCUUCCUACCAGACUUUAGCCCUGGUGGCAUCUCCUUGAAAUAAUAAUAACAAAUAUUUUUAUUUAUACCCCACCAUCCCCAGCCAGAGCCUGGCUCAGGGCGGUUAACACCAGUAAAAUUACAGUAAAAACAUAAUAGGAAAAGAAAAAAGAAAAAAAACCCAAUUUAAAAUACAGGUUAAAAUGCAAUUUAAAAUGCAGCCUCAUUUUAAAAGUAGCCCAUGGAUCAAAACCAUAAGGGGAGGGAAACAUAAGGGUCAGGCUGAGUCCAAACCAAAGGCCAGGCGGAACAGCUCUGUCUUGCAGGCCCUGCGGAAAGAUGUCAAGUCCCGCAGGGGCCUGGUCUCUUGUGACAGAGCGUUCCACCAAGUUGGGGCCAGUACUGAAAAGGCCCUGGCCCUAGUUGAGACCAGUCUAACCUCCUUGCGACCUGGAACCUCCAAAAUGUUGCCAUUUGUGGACCUUAAGGUCCUCCGUGGGAACAUAAUACAGUAGUGCCUUGGUUCUCAAACGCCUUGGUACUCAAACAACUCGGAACCCAAACACUGCUAACCCGGAAAUAAGUGUUCUGAUUUGUGAACCUUUUUCGGAAGUCAAACAUGCUCUGUUUUGAGUGUUACGCUUCCAAUUUGAGUGCCACACUUCCUUUUUGAAUAUUACGCUGAGGUCUGUCUGUUUUUUGCUAUUUAUUUUGCGUUUUUGCUUCUGCGGCUCUUUUUGUUGUUGUUUUUGUGACUGUGUGGAACCCAGUUCAGCUGCUGAUUGAUUGACUGCGUGACUGCAGUACAUUGUUUAUUGCUUUCAUUUUAUGGAUCAAUGGUCUCGUUAGAUAGUAAAAUAGUUAAAUUGCUGUUUUAGAGGUUUUUUUAAAAAAGCCUGGAAUGGAUUAAUCAGUUUUGUAUCGCUUUCUAUGGGAAAGCACACCUUGGUUUUGGAACGGACUUCCGGAACGGAUUAAGUUUGAGAACCAAGGUACCACUGUAAAUGAAGGCAAACCAACCAUGGCCCUCAAUCUCUCUCGCCACCAAUGAAACCUAAUUUUCUAUUCGUUUAUUGCCCUCUUGGGAGCUUUGAACAGAUAGCGCCUGCUUUUUCUUUUCACUCUCUGUGCCUGUUUUCAUGGAUCUGCAAGAAGGAGCACCUCGACUCCCGGCCAGCAGAAAUCGCAAUCACCAUUGAGCAGGGGUAAGCGAGCUUCCUUCCAAUUUGACAAAGACAUCUCUCUGCUGUGUGCUUCGGGAUAGGGCUGGGCAGCUGUACGGCCUUGGAGCCAAAUCUGCUAUGAUUCUGACGGCUCCAACCCUGAGAGGCCAAAGAGGGCUGUGGGAGGAGACCUCUGACACUGCUGUGGAAGUGACCUUUUGAGGUCCUGUAAGUUCAUAAAGAUGCGAGUGGCACUGUGGUCUAAACCACUGAGCCUCUUGGGCUUCCUGAUCAGAAGGCUGGUGGUUCGAAUCCCCGUGACAGGGUGAGCUCCCGUUGGUUGGUCCCAGCUCCUGCCAACCUAGCAGUUUGAAAGUAUAACAGUGCAAGUAGAUAAACAGGUACCGCUCUGGUGGGAAGGUUAUCAGUAUUUCCAUUCGCUGCUCUGGUUCGCCAGAAGCAGCUUAGUCAUGCUGGCCACAUGACCCGGAAGCUGUACACCUCAGCCAAUAAAGCGAAAUGAGCGCCACAACCCCAGAGUCGUCCGUGACUAGACCUAAUGGUCAGGGGUCCCUUUACCUAAGUCCAUAAAGAAUGCUGUAUUAUUUUACUGUUGUUAGCCACUCUGAGCCCGGCUUUGGCUGGGAGGGCAGAAUAUAAAUAAAAUAUUAUUAUUAUUUAUUAUUAUUAUUCAAAGAAGUGUCCCAACAACCAGAUUUACGAAUCUGAACCAUUUGCUUCCUCUUCCAGAUCCAGCCUACAAGAGCCUUCAAUCAUCUCCUGCCUCCCAACCCAGAA